AGAGUUUGAUCCUGGCUCAGAUUGAACGCUGGCGGCAUGCCUAACACAUGCAAGUCGAACGGUAACAGGUCGCUGUGAUCCCUUCGGGGUGAACUUGAUGCUGACGAGUGGCGGACGGGUGAGUAAUGCUUGGGAAUCUGCCCAGUAGUGGGGGACAACACGAGGAAACUCGUGCUAAUACCGCAUACGUUCCCUUGGUUAAUUUCAAGGGAAGAAAGUGGGGGAUCUUCGGACCUCACGCUAUUGGAUGAGCCCAAGUCGGAUUAGCUUGUUGGUGGGGUAACGGCCUACCAAGGCAACGAUCCGUAGCUGGUCUGAGAGGACGAUCAGCCACACUGGGACUGAGACACGGCCCAGACUCCUACGGGAGGCAGCAGUGGGGAAUAUUGGACAAUGGGCGCAAGCCUGAUCCAGCAAUGCCGCGUGUGUGAAGAAGGCCUGCGGGUUGUAAAGCACUUUCAGUAGAGAAGAAAAGCUCAGGGUUAAUAGCCUUGGGUCUUGACGUUACCUACAGAAGAAGCACCGGCUAACUCCGUGCCAGCAGCCGCGGUAAUACGGAGGGUGCGAGCGUUAAUCGGAAUUACUGGGCGUAAAGCGCGCGUAGGCGGCUUGGUCAGUCGAAUGUGAAAGCCCUGGGCUUAACCUGGGAAUUGCAUCCGAUACUGCCGAGCUAGAGUAUGGGAGAGGGAAGUGGAAUUUCCGGUGUAGCGGUGAAAUGCGUAGAUAUCGGAAGGAACACCAGUGGCGAAGGCGACUUCCUGGACCAAUACUGACGCUCAGGUGCGAAAGCGUG
rnacentral:rRNA from 1 species